ACACUCCUGCGGGAGGCAGCAGUGGGGAAUAUUGCACAAUGGGCGCAAGCCUGAUGCAGCGACGCCGCGUGGGGGAUGAAGGCCUUCGGGUUGUAAACUCCUUUCGCUAGGGACGAAGCUUUUUUGUGACGGUACCUAGAUAAGAAGCACCGGCUAACUACGUGCCAGCAGCCGCGGUAAUACGUAGGGUGCGAGCGUUGUCCGGAAUUACUGGGCGUAAAGGGCUCGUAGGUGGUUUGUCGCGUCGUCUGUGAAAUUCUGGGGCUUAACUCCGGGCGUGCAGGCGAUACGGGCAUAACUUGAGUGCUGUAGGGGUAACUGGAAUUCCUGGUGUAGCGGUGAAAUGCGCAGAUAUCAGGAGGAACACCGAUGGCGAAGGCAGGUUACUGGGCAGUUACUGACGCUGAGGAGCGAAAGCAUGGGUAGCGAACAGGAUUAGAUACCCGUGUAGUCCCAUG
rnacentral:rRNA from 1 species